GUACAUGUGAACUUCACUCGAGAAGAAUGGGCUUUGCUGGAUCCUUCACAGAAGAGUCUCUACAAAGAUGUGAUGCAGGAGACCUACAGGAACCUCACUGCUAUAGGUAAGACAGUGAAUUUUCUUUCAGUUUUUAAAACAAGAAAACAAAUGUUCCUUUGUUACUGUUGCUUUUCUGUAACUUCAAUUGAGAAUAAAGGAGAAUGAGGUGAAAAGGUCCGGUUCACUGAAGAUAGUAACUUAAAUGU
rnacentral:lncRNA from 1 species